GCUGUCAAUGAUGAUUUUAUCUCAAUAAUUUGAGUUUAACUGACCAUGAGAAUACCUUACAUGCACUACCAUCUGAGACAGC